CGAAGGGGCUAGCGUUGUUCGGAAUUACUGGGCGUAAAAGGGCGCGUAGGCGGCUUUUCUAAGUCAGGCGUGAAAUACCCCGGGCCGUUAAACCUGGGAACUGCGCUUGAGACUGGAAGGCUUGAGUUCGGGAGAGGUGAGUGGAAUUCCCAGUGUAGAGGUGAAAUUCGUAGAUAUUGGGAAGAACACCAGCGGCGAAGGCGGCUCACUGGACCGAUACUGACGCUGAGGCGCGAAAGCGUGGGGAGCAAACAGGAUU
rnacentral:rRNA from 1 species